rnacentral:lncRNA from 1 species
GUUCUCAGCCAAACUUGACUUCAGAUGCUCAAAAUGUAUUACAGGAAAAAUCCAGAGAUCAGCAGUACUUUCUUUCUUUUUUUUUUUUGUCAAUUUUGAUGAAAAAAGGACGUCAUCUUAGAGACUCAACUUGGAAAUCAUUUCCUGGCAAAGCCAUAAGGCUCACCCCCUUGGACUGAGCUUUGAAGUGUUUCGGGUCGUUAGCACAGCGAAAAUGAAGUGGGGAGGAAGUGGACGCUGAGCUCAUCCGACCGCGUUCCGCUCCUGCCUCUUCCUCCCUCCUCACGCACGCCAGAGUCCAACUGCAAGAGUCCAGGAUGCCUGUGUGGAUUUCCUCGAGCAGAGCUUGGAAAAGAAGUUUCCAGGUUGCAGAGUUCAUGGCUGGCCACCUGGCUCAUGUCCGGCUGACGGCAGCAAGAGGGGAAAAGGAGCUGCUACGGCUAGUUUUGCUGUAAGGCCUUGACCUAGGGAGGGAAGUGGAGGAGCUGGACCACCUCAGAACUGAUACAGACAACGAGGACAAGCAGGCUGCUCGCUGCAAAGCGUCGAGGCCCCGCUGAGUGGGAGUCAGGCUCUCUCUGGCCUGUGAGUCCAAGUAAUGUCCUUGCUGGCCAGACAGUGCAGCGUGUCAGAGGCAUUAGACCCUGGGCUCCCUGCAAGCAUAGAGGACAAAGUGAGCCGCACAAGGCUGGGACCCAAAGCGCAAACGUGUGGAGAAGGAAGCCUGGAAACCCCACCGAGCUCUGCCUGCCUUAGAGAUCCAAAGACACCAGGCAGACGAGACGAGCCUGUUCAUCUCAGGGACGCACAGCCACCUCCCGCCGCCCCUGCUCCCAAGGGCGUUAAACUAGCUGGGCAGUCCCAUUUCCUGCUCAAAACUGCUUUUAAAGCUGUGGUGACAACUGUAGCAAGCCCCAAACUCCUGUCAAUGUUGUUUACCCUGCCCAAACCUACCCCAGAUUCUGUCUCCUUCCUCUCUCCACUUGAAGGUCCAGCUCAAAUCCUAAAGUUCUCUGGGAUCUGGAGGUGGACAAUCUCUCCCUCCUCUAAUUCGCUACCUACUUUACUUUGA